UGCCAGCAGCCGCGGUAAUACGGAGGGGGCUAGCGUUGUUCGGAAUUACUGGGCGUAAAGGGCGCGUAGGCGGCCACGUAAGUCGGACGUGAAAUCCCUUGGCUUAACCAAGGAACUGCGUCCGAAACUGCGUGGCUAGAGUCCGGGAGAGGGUAGUGGAAUUCCCAGUGUAGCGGUGAAAUGCGUAGAUAUUGGGAGGAACACCAGUGGCGAAGGCGGCUACCUGGGUAAUGACUGACGCUGAGAUGCGAAAGCGUGGGGAGCAAACAGGAUUAGAUA
rnacentral:rRNA from 1 species